AGAGUUUGAUCAUGGCUCAGGACGAACGCUGGCGGCGUGCUUAACACAUGCAAGUGGAGCGACGAACCAGGGCUUGCCCUGGGGCAGAGCCGCGAACGGGUGAGUAACACGUGGGUAACGUGCCCCAAUGAUCGGGACAACCCGGGGAAACCCGAGCUAAUACCGAAUGUGCUCCCCUCACACCAGUGAGGGAUGGAAAGGAAGCUUCGGCCUCCGCAUUGGGAUCGGCCCGCGGCCCAUUAGCUUGUUGGUGAGGUAACGGCUCACCAAGGCUGCGAUGGGUAGCUGGUCUGAGAGGACGAUCAGCCACACUGGGACUGAGACACGGCCCAGACUCCUACGGGAGGCAGCAGUGGGGAAUCUUGCGCAAUGCGCGAAAGCGUGACGCAGCAACGCCGCGUGGGGGAAGAAGGCCUUCGGGUUGUAAACCCCUUUCAUGAGGGACGAAGCCAGGGCGGUUAAUAGCCGACCCGGGUGACGGUACCUCCAGAAGAAGCCCCGGCUAACUACGUGCCAGCAGCCGCGGUAAUACGUAGGGGGCAAGCGUUGUCCGGAAUCAUUGGGCGUAAAGAGCGUGUAGGCGGUCCGGUAAGUCGGCUGUGAAAGUCCAGGGCUCAACCCUGGGAUGCCGGUCGAUACUGCCGGACUAGAGUUCGGAAGAGGCGAGUGGAAUUCCAGGUGUAGCGGUGAAAUGCGUAGAUAUCUGGAGGAACACCGGUGGCGAAGGCGGCAUCCUGGACCGGCAUUGACGCUGAGGCGCGAAAGCUAGGGGAGCAAACGGGAUUAGAUACCCGGUAGUCCUAGCCCUAAACGAUGAAUGCUUGGUGUGGCGGUAUCGAUCCCUGCCGUGCCGAACUA
rnacentral:rRNA from 1 species